rnacentral:snRNA from 8 species
CGACUCUGGUUUCUCUUCAUUACGCACAAGCCUUUCGCCUUUUACUAAAGACUUCCGGGAGAGGAAC